GCACCGUUGGUCUAAUGGUUAGGAUUCAUGAUGAGGUCGGGGUUCGAUUCCCCGACGGCGCA
rnacentral:tRNA from 1 species